CAGUAGCCACGGGAACACCGAGGGUGCAAGCGUUAAUCGGAAUUACUGGGCGUAAAGCGCGCGUAGGUGGUUUGUUAAGUUGGAUGUGAAAGCCCCGGGCUCAACCUGGGAACUGCAUCCAAAACUGGCAAGCUAGAGUACGGUAGAGGGUGGUGGAAUUUCCUGUGUAGCGGUGAAAUGCGUAGAUAUAGGAAGGAACACCAGUGGCGAAGGCGACCACCUGGACUGAUACUGACACUGAGGUGCGAAAGCGUGGGGAGCAAACAGGAUUAGAUACCCGAGUAGUCCCUGUCUCUUAUAC
rnacentral:rRNA from 1 species